rnacentral:rRNA from 1 species
GGACGAACGCUGGCGGCGUGCCUAACACAUGCAAGUCGAGCGAGGAGAUCCUUCGGGAUGAUCCUAGCGGCGGACGGGUGAGUAACACGUGGGCAACCUGCCUCAUAGAGAGGAAUAGCCUUCCGAAAGGGAGAUUAAUACCUCAUAACAUUGCAGUUUCGCAUGGAACAGCAAUUAAAGGAGCAAUCCGCUAUGAGAUGGGCCCGCGGCGCAUUAGCUAGUUGGUGAGGUAACGGCUCACCAAGGCGACGAUGCGUAGCCGACCUGAGAGGGUGAUCGGCCACAUUGGGACUGAGACACGGCCCAGACUCCUACGGGAGGCAGCAGUGGGGAAUAUUGCACAAUGGGGGAAACCCUGAUGCAAGCAACGCCGCGUGAGUGAUGACGGCCUUCGGGUUGUAAAGCUCUGUCUUCAGGGACGAUAAUGACGGUACCUGAGGAGGAAGCCACGGCUAACUACGUGCCAGCAGCCGC